rnacentral:lncRNA from 1 species
GAUCUCCGGUUCACUCAACCAUCAAAGCGUAUGACCUCUUCCGACCCCCGGUUCACUCAACAAUUAAAGCGUAUGGCUUCUAUCGUCUACGGACAUUGAACCUCUUACGGCAAACCUACUUGACAACUGAUGAUAACAUGAUUCAACGAUGACUCGAGAACUUCGACCUAAUCUCCAACAGUAACAGCGCUGACUCAUACGAUCGGGCAUUAAUUUUCACUCCAUACCAGAUUGUACGACAGGCAGUUUGCCCCGUCACAUCACAGGUAACCCAGCCCCCUCUAUAAAAGGAGACUCCUCCAUU